rnacentral:tRNA from 1 species
AGAAAGAUAAGCUAAUUAAGCUAAUGGGUUCAUACCCCAAAUAUAGAGGCUAUAAUCCUCUUCUUUCUA